AUCAACUGCAUUGGUAUAUCAUUUUCUCAAAUUAUAUUUAUCAUGAAAAUCAAGGCACAAGGUUUUCAAAACAUUUAGUUUCAAUGUAAAAUCCGAGAUAAACAAUGAGAGAUGUUUGUAACUCUGCAUAUGCUCACAAAAAAAAUAUAUCAGGUAACCAUAUCAAGGAUCAAGGCAAAGCCCAUCAUAGUGAGUAACAUAAGGAGU
rnacentral:lncRNA from 1 species